UACGGGGGGGGCAAGCGUUGUUCGGAAUUACUGGGCGUAAAGGGCUCGUAGGUGGCCAACUAAGUCAGACGUGAAAUCCCUCGGCUUAACCGGGGAACUGCGUCUGAUACUGGAUGGCUUGAGUUUGGGAGAGGGACGCGGAAUUCCAGGUGUAGCGGUGAAAUGCGCAGAUAUCAGGAGGAACACCAAUGGCGAAGGCAGCUCGCUGGGACGGUACUGACGCUGAGGCGCGAAAGCGUGGGGAGCGAACCGG
rnacentral:rRNA from 1 species